UACGUAGGGCGCGAGCGUUGUCCGGAAUUAUUGGGCGUAAAGAGCUCGUAGGCGGCCUGUUGCGUCUGCUGUGAAAUCCCGGGGCUUAACCCCGGGCGUGCAGUGGAUACGGGCAGGCUGGAGGCAGGCAGGGGAGAACGGAAUUCCCGGUGUAGCGGUGAAAUGCGCAGAUAUCGGGAGGAACACCGGUGGCGAAGGCGGUGCUCUGGGCCUGUACUGACGCUGAGGAGCGAAAGCGUGGGGAGCGAACAGG
rnacentral:rRNA from 1 species